UCGUCACCCCUGUCCCUAAAAACCAUCCCUGAAAUUUACAAACCAGACCCUAAGGAAGGGGCAGAGCCAUGGAAAUUUCCUUAGGGUUGUUCUCACCGUGCACACCUUGGGGAAAGCAGAAACAUUUUCCGAGAGGCAGCAGGGACCACAGAUCAUCAGGCAUGUUGCUAGACAACCCCACAUCCUCCCAGGCCCCGCUGCCCCCUUGUCAGCCAUGGUAACCCUCCAGUUCACGCUUGUAUUUUCUCAGAACUCCGCGGCAGCUCAAGUGCGUCAGCAUCACGUCAGGUUUAUUUUGAAGAUGCCGAGGUCUCCAUGGAGACUUGGGGCAAGAAACAUGAUGAGAGGCCUUUAUCAAUUUCCAUAUCAUCGUGUCAUGGUUUUGCAAAACGUUCUUGAUGAAAGCAGAGAAUGGCAUUUUACUGAGUGUGGCAAUCUUGCCCAGCCUCUGACAUCGUACAGGUUGAUACCCAUCAGGUUGUCCUUGUAUGGACCACGGGAGAAGGGGCUGGCGCCUCCUGGGAGGAUCCACGUUUGA
rnacentral:lncRNA from 1 species